AACGAACGCUGGCGGCAUGCCUAACGCAUGCAAGUCGAACGAGACCUUCGGGUCUAGUGGCGCACGGGUGCGUAACGCGUGGGAAUCUGCCCUUGGGUUCGGAAUAACUCAGAGAAAUUUGAGCUAAUACCGGAUGAUGACGAAAGUCCAAAGAUUUAUCGCCCAAGGAUGAGCCCGCGUAAGAUUAGCUUGUUGGUGGGGUAAUGGCCCACCAAGGCGACGAUCUUUAGCUGGUCUGAGAGGAUGAUCAGCCACACUGGGACUGAGACACGGCCCAGACUCCUACGGGAGGCAGCAGUGGGGAAUAUUGGACAAUGGGCGAAAGCCUGAUCCAGCAAUGCCGCGUGAGUGAUGAAGGCCUUAGGGUUGUAAAGCUCUUUUACCAGGGAUGAUAAUGACAGUACCUGGAGAAUAAGCUCCGGCUAACUCCGUGCCAGCCGCCGCGGUAAGAC
rnacentral:rRNA from 1 species